rnacentral:lncRNA from 1 species
CCCAGUACCACAGAGCCUUCUGGGUGGGCCAAAGCUGAGAACUGGGAUGCACAUCCAGUCCACAUAGGCCCACAGCUCCUCAGGACCCCGCGGCCUGGCAGGGUCCGGGUGGCCAUUGCCUUGAUGGGAGCAUUUUGUUCAGUAACUGCUUCUUUCCAAACUUAAGGGACCAAGAUGUGGAGCGGACUGGGGACCCAGCCUGCCGUGCUGGUGGCCCAGUGUCCUCAGCUUCCGUCCUGUCCUCCUCGACUCAGCCUGCAGCGAGAGGCCAGCGGGGCUCCCUCGGGCUUUGGUCCUCAGCUCUGUCUACUGUUAAUGCUCCCAGGCCGCUAGAGUGGGUGACCCGGCAUCCUCGAUUCUCAUUGGCCAACCACAGAGCCUCCAGCAGCCUCUGCCCCUGGGGUGCUGAGUAGAAGAAACAGCAAUCUGAUUUGAUUCCAGAGGAAAAUCAGCAGCAGCCUUUGAAUCCAGUAUGUGCAAAACCACAGGUACUGCCGUGUAUGGAAAUGGGAGGCUUCCCAGCAGGAAUGCAUGAUUUCUGCAAUUUCUAUAAAUCAUCCCCUGAUGGUUUAGGCUGAUAGAAGUGGAAGUUAUUUACAAUGGAAAGCAACCAGAUAAAAGCCUUUCGGACACUGAGUGUGCAUAGUGGCUACUGGACAAAUAGGCAUCAUUCUUUGGAGCCAAGUUGGAGAACCCAGCUGCCCUCUCUCUCUGUCGGUCAGUCUGUCUCUGUCCCUCA